AGUAAGUCGUAUGUCGGCAUCAAAGUGCCCCUGGUUUUUUUCUCAUGUGUUUUUGUUUGUGUGCAUGAUAUCCACAUGAAACGCGCUGUUGCCCUUCGUGCUCUCUCAGUAUACCUGCGGGAAGAGGACACACAGUUUUUCAAGACUUGGAACAGAGACGAAUCGGAGGAACCAGACAUCAGUGACACUCCUGUUGGUAUUCUCACAGUGGUCACAGAGAGAAGUACAUCUCCAGUUCACUUCAGUCCUGCAAGCACAGCCAUGGUGUGGUGGAAGAUGAGUUGGUUAUGAUGGACAUUGCCACGUUUGCGAAGCGCAUGUGUUACUGUUUGGGCUGGUUUAUGCUUUGCAUCUGGACUACCCAAAGAAGCUUGUUAACACGUUCACCUUCAUUCAGAAGGUACUGAUGGGGAUGGAUGAUGGUGCACCACUCAAACCUUCUUUGCUCUGUUUGAAAAAUGACCUGCUAACGACAAUGUAGAAGUUGUGGAUUUGUCCAGACACCUGUAUCAUGACAGCAUGUUUGUUGUUGCAUUGUUUCAUUGUUUAUUUGAUUGAUUGUUCUAUGCAAGAUGUGCCUUAUUAAAGAGAUACUUCACCUGUGGUAAUAUGAAGGUUUUAUGAAUUAAAUAAUUCAAUGUAUUAUAAAUGUGAAAAAAAAAUUGAAAUCGGUUCAUCCUAGCCUGAAAAAAGGCAGAAAGAGUGUUUUCAUGGUCUCUCUGGCUCAAA